AGAAAAAGGGCCUGAAGCAAAAGUUUGGGCACCCUGCAUGGUCAGUACUUAGUAACAUCCCCUUUGAAGGGAAUGAGCCUAGGAUCUAUUGCACAGCUGGAAGAGCCAAGUUUCAAGGAUUCAGGUUUGAAGAUGCCAGAAACGGCCAGAAGUAAAAAUGUAACAAUUUCACUACUUACCACAAGUUAGGACCUACAAAGAAUUUUAAGGUAUCGACAAUCAUCUUGAAUGCUACAAUGAAAAUGAAGAUUUGAACAAUGCAUUCAUUGAAAGCAUUGUAUGAACUUUUAGGGAGUAUUCUGAAGUUAUGUGACUAUAACAGAUUUUAAUUCAAACAAGAGCCAGUCUUCAUUUCUGAUUGUAAGUAUAAGUAGGUUCAGGAAUCUUACAAUUAGUCUUGAAUUUUUAUUGUAAAUUGCAAGCAGUAAAAUGCAGUUAAAAGCGCACAGAGUAAGAGAUACGGUGUGCAAAAUGGUGACAAUGAUACAUUUGCAUUUGUAUAAAUCAAACAUUAGGACAAUGGGGUUGUGUUACUUGCCCUGCAUCAACUAUGGGUUUAAGGAAUUUGCACCAUUGCAAAUGUAAAUAAGGUCAGAGAAAUGUCCCAGACAAGGUAUAUGAACAUUCAGAGGUGUCUGGAAAUUGUAGGUUCGCAACUUGAAGGAAGCAUUGUCAACCAGAAAUAUUGAGCUUAAUGAUGUCAUUGUAACUAUUGAAGCUAUAUGAAUCACCCGCGGUUACCAUUGAUCUUAAGGGUAUAAAAUGUG